rnacentral:rRNA from 1 species
CCUACGGGUGGCAGCAGUGAGGAAUAUUGGUCAAUGGGCGGAAGCCUGAACCAGCCAAGUAGCGUGCGCGAUGAAGGCCCUACGGGUCGUAAACCGCUUUUGCACGGGGAUAACAUCCUCCACUUGUGGAGGUCUGCAGGUACCGUGCGAAUAAGGGCCGGCUAAUUCCGUGACAGCAGCCGCGGGAAGACGGAAGGCCCGAGCGUUAUCCGGAUUCAUUGGGGUUAAAGGGAGCGUAGGCGGGCGGUAAAGUCAGCUGUAAAAUCGCGCGGCUCAACCGCGCCCCGAAGUUGAAACUGGAAGACUUGAGUUCACAAGAGGCAGGCGGAAUUCGUGGUGUAGCGGUGAAAUGCGUAGAUAUAACGAAGAACCCCGAUGGCGAAGGCAGCCUGCCGGGUUGCGACUGACGCUGAGGCUCGAAGGUGCGGGUAUCAAACAGGAUUAGAUACCCGAGUAGUC